CGUUUUUUUUUUCGAUCAUACGGUAUUAGACACUUUCUAAUAAGUUUUCAUAGAUUUUUUAUGUAGCUCUUGAAAAUACGUUUUAAAUGUGUGUUUUAAACCAUUCUGUAAAUUUCUUACUCCAGUAAAUUUUGGGAAUACUAUGGAGUGUAGAGGUAAGGAGAAAUAACUCUUAUGGGACUUUUAUUGAAAAAGUGGUCACAAAAUGGGAAGAAUAAGGGUUCGCCAAAUGACCACAGUGGCGCUAAAAACGCAUAAUUCUAAAAAAUGAAAAGUAACCAUAGAUAAGAGAAUAAAAAUAAAUAUAACCAAACAUUACCCAAAAAAAGUUUUUUUAUUUUUUAGAAUAUAAAAUAAUUAUUGUUUAUCAAUAUUUUGUGCUUUAUUUAUUAUUUAACAAUGGUUAAAGUGUGUGCGGUACGAAGUUGAUUGAAUAGCUGAUGGAAAAAUAAAGAGCAAAGGCAAAGCCUGUAAAAUACAUAAUAUAAUUCAGUAUUGUAUUAUUUCUAUUAUAUGUAAAAAUUAGAGUCAAUCAAAAGUGUAGUAAACAUUUUUCGUAAGAUUAUUGACAUACAUGUUACAAAGUAUACUUUUACAAUCCUUUCUAUAAAGUUACAACCUGAAUAAAAUUUAUUUUUAAUGAUUUAAGUUUGACAGACAUGCACAAUUGCACAAAUUGUUGGCAUUUUUUUAAACAAAUAAAAGUAGGAAAUAAAUAAAGUUGUAGGUACUUUCAAGAAAUAUAGUUAACUGUAAGUGCUGUAUUUUAAUAAUCUGUCAAAAAUCAAAAUCAUCAGGAUAAUAUUAGGUAUUGAUUUUCAAACAAGAAUUAGAUUACAGCGAUGGUCAAAAGCAUUUAGAUAUUGCUUUGAAAUCUACAGAUAAGGUAUGGCAGUUUCGUUUUAAAGAACAAGAUGUUAAAGUUUAUGAUAAAAUUGUCAUCAGAAAUACUGUCCACUUGCAGUAUUUACAUAGGAAAAUGUUGGAGGAUGAAGCUCUACCUACUGCCUCAGGUUAAUUUAAAUUCUGAGUUGCAACAACAGCAACAAGCAAGAAGGGCACCAUUAAAUGAAUAUUAUACACAUAAGUAUUAUUAUACAAAGAAAGAGUAAUGUUAUACACAUAAAUAUUAACAUUUUGUAGAGCAACAACAGAAUAAAAAACCAAAAUAUGAACACCAGCAACUAAAACAGGAACCAUUAAAUGAAUAUUAUAUACGUAAGUACAAUUUGAUUGAAUAAAAAACAGCGUCAGCGAUGCCUAUGAAAUGAAGAUUGCUGUCAUUUUAUAUGUAAAAUGAUAUGGAGAAUGUCAUCGAGAUGUUCAUUUCCAAGCCAACUGCACGCCGUGUUUUUUCGAUCAUACAGUAUUAUUAUACACAUAAAUAGUAAUAUUAUACACAUAAACAUCCCUUGAUAGAGAUCAACAUUUUGUAGAGCAAUAACAGCAUCAAAUAAUGGAAAUAAUGGACCUUAUUGCACAAAUCAAAAACAAAAUUUCAGCAUUACUACUUUAUUGGUUAUAUCAAUAAAAGAAAUUGAGUUUAUCAGUCUAGAUCCUACAAGCAAGCAGAUCUAUCACAUAAUUUUAAAUGAAGAUUUAUCUAUUAUAGUAAUUUAUUCUAAUAACGAAAAAAAAACUUUGGAUCAAAAAAUAUUUUCUUCUGAUGAGGUUUAUGAAUAUUAAAGUCUGUUGAAGUUUGGCCAUUAUGUGUUGGUAUACAAUUUAUUUAUGAUGUUACAGUAGUUAAACCAUCCGAGUACGAAACAUGUUUAAAAUCCACUAUUCUUAAUGAAUGGAAACUACCAACUUAAGAGGAAGCUAAGAGAAAGGUUCUAUUGGGUGGACUACAAG